CUUUUUGUCUCCUAUCUCUUUGUUUGGACAUUUUUUUUUAAAAAAGCCUGACUGGUCUUUUGUUUGUAUAUUAUGGCCUCUGAUUUUGUGUUUUUAAGGUAGGCAUGCGUGGUGUGUGUGUGGUAUGUGUAUGAGUGUGUGUGUGGUCUGUGUGUGAGUAUGUAUGUGUGUGUGUAUGCCUUUUUGUGAUCUUUCUCCUUCCUUCCUUCCUCCCUCUCUUUCUUUCUUUCUUUCUUUCUUUCUUUCUUUCUUUCUUUCUUUCUUUCUUUCUUUCUUAUUUCUUUCAUUUGUUUGUGCUUUUUAGUUCUGGUUUGGUUUGGUUUUUUGAGAUUUUUUUUGUCUCAUAUUGCUUUAUUUGGACAUUUUUUUAAAGCCUUUUUGGUCUUUUGCUUGUACAUUAUGGCUUCUGAUUUUGUGUUUUUAAGGUAAGUGUGUAUGGUAUGUGUGAAUGUGUGUGUGUUCUGAGUCUGUGUGUGUGCAUGUGUGUAUGCAUUUCUUGUAGUCUCUCUCUCUCUCUUCCUUCCUUUCUUCCUUCCUUUCUCUCUUUCUUUCUUUCUUCCUUCCUUUCUUUCUUUCUUUGUUAGUUCAUUUCAUUUUAUUCUUGUUUGUACCCCCCCUUUUUUUUGCCUGUUUGUUUUCUUAAGAGACAGAGAAAAAGGAUGUGUAGAAUUGGCAGGGUGGGGAGGUAGGAAGGGUUUGGGAGGAAGCUGUGAUUCCAAUAUAUCAUACAAAAAUAACAGUUUUCAAUUAAAAGUGAAAAUCAUAAAAUAUUAGGGAAAAACUGCAGAAAGUUCCAAUGAAGCCACUUUCAUGUGCAGGGCAUGGAGUCCCGUGUGCUGAGCCCUUACGAUGUGUAGGCAUUGCUUUAGACGUUAGGAAUACUUAAAAUAUGUAGGAAGGCACCAAGGUUAUACGCAAAUACCAUGGGCUUUUAUCUAGAGCUCUUGAGCAUCCACAGGCAUCCGGGAAACAACGAACGUCCUGUGGAUAGUGAGAAACAACUGUGCUCACAAACCUCUCAUUUCUGUACAUUUUCCACAGGCCCGAUGUAUAUAUUGAAUGUAAACAUUUCAUUACGAAAAAAAUUAAACUGAACACAGUAAUGCAGGAAACUUGAGAGGGUGCUGGUUAGUUUUUUGUCAACUUGACACAAGCUAGUGUCCUAUGGGAAUAGGGAACCUCGACGGAGAAAAGGCUUCCAUCAAACUGGCCUGUAGGCAAGUCUGUGGGGGCAUUUUCUUGAUUAAUGUGUGAUGUGAGAGGGCUAGGCUCACUGUGGGAAAUACUACCUCUGGGCAGAUGGUCUGGAUUGUUUAAGAAAAUUGAGCGAACCAUGAGAACGAGCCAGGACGGAGGACUUUUCCAUGGGCUUUGCUUCACUCCCUGCCUCCAAGUUUCUGCCUUGAGCUCCUUCCCUGACUUCCUUUCUUAGGCACAGAGCCAUUUUUUUUUUGAAGACUUUCUUUCUUUCUUUUUUUUUUUUCUUUUAAUUACACAUAGAUUUGUGGAUAUGUGCAUGUCAGAGACCAGAGGGAGUGUCAGAUUUCCUGUGAUCUGCCUGAGGUGGAUUCUGGGAAUUGAACCAGGUCCUCAGGAAGAGCAGCCAGUGCGAUCUUAACCACUGAGCCAUCUCUCCAGCCCUGCCCUUGACUUCCUCGGUGAUGGACUGUGACUGGGUUGUAUAAGUUAAAUAAACCCUUUCCUCCCCAGGUUGUGUUUGGUCAGUGUUUAUCACAGCAACAGAAAGCAAGCUGGGACAAGGGAUGUUAUACACUAUAUAGAAAGAAACUAUAAAGCAGCAGAAGGACUUUUCCUAUCAGUCUGCCCUAGGAAGAAUAGAAGGGUUGAGGAAAUUGAUCAGUUGGUAAAAUGUCUGCCAGGCAAGCACGAAGGUUGGAGUUUGAUCUCCAGCAUCCAAGUAAAAGAUUGAGUGAGACAACAUGUGCCUGUAAUCUCAGUGUUUGGGAAGGAGGUAGAAAGCAGGUAGAUCCGUGGACCUCACGGAUGAGCCAACUCAGGGAGACAUCUUGUCUCAGAAAUUAAUAGCUGGGCGAUGGUGGGGGUGGUGGCACAUGUCUUUAAUCCUAACACUCGGGGCAAAGAAACAGGAGGAUCUCUGUGAGUUCUAACCCAGCCUGGCCUGCAAAGUAAGUUCUAGGACAGCCAAGAGUACACAGAGAAACCCUGACUUGGAAAACCAAAAAUAAAUAUAUAAAUAUAAAUAAAAAUUAAGAUGGAGAACAGUUGAGCAACUGAGAAAAAUACAUGACAUUGGCAGCUAGCAUCCACAUGUACACACAUGAGGACAUAUGUACAUAUUACUGCAUGUAAAUAACACAUAUACUCAUGCACAUCUACACUACACACAGACAAAAAAAAAUUGAAACUCUAGUGUGUGUUAGAACAUGGACGAAUACUGAAGCUCUUAUGCGAAGUGAGAAGUAUCUUUCAUGAAAAGAGAUACCUGGAAGAACUUGAAGCAAUGAAAUGAAUAUGGACACACAAGGUAUACGAGUGAUUUCCAGGAGGCUUGAGGGAAAGUUACCACCUGAUGAUAUGAGAUUUCGGUCUUGUAAGAGGAAAGGAGUUUUGCGUGUUGGCAAAUGUAAUAAUUUCCCCUAAACUAAUCAAUUGAUAUCCACUAGUUUAGUAAACUCUAUGCACAUACACAGAGCUGCAAGGAAAAAUUAUAAUAUUAACUUUUAGAGUAGAAUAGUAGCAAUGAAUAUUCUGCAAACUCCUACUUCACCACCAAGCAUGCCCAGAUGGUGCCUAGCUUACAGUGCUCAGACCUCAGACUGUUCAAGCCUCUGACGCUGGGCCGGUGAUACACAGCAGAGAGUUCAGGGCUGGCCUACUAAACGUUUGGAAGUGGUUCGUGUAUUUCACACUAUGUUUAUUUUCCCAAAAUCAAAAACUUAAAAAAAAAAUUCGCAGAGGGUCAUUGCGGGGGAGGAGGGGUACACCAUAGCAGCAACAAAUAACUUCUUAUAAUGUUGAGAGGACAGUUCCCCCAAGAAACCAGCAAGCCUCCUUGAUAUGCACCCCUCAUCAAGAUGCACAAACUAAAAAUUGAUUGCCCUGGGGAAAGAGAGAGAUGAGGCAACCCUCACAGUUGAAGACGCUCAGCACUCUUCUCCUAGGAAUGGAUAGAUCCAAGAGAUAUAAAUGUGAUGAAGACAUUCUUGAACUGCAAAGGACCAUUAAUUAUUGGAUUUACUAAAAUCUGUAAAGUACUUCAUAUAAUAAUCAGAAGAAUUUAACUUCUUCACAUGUUUAUAUGGAACAUUCACUAACACAAGCCGCAUUCUGGGCCAUAAAACCCAUCUCAAUAAAUUUGAAAGAAUAGAUAUUAUACAAGAUAUGUUCUUAAAUGACAGCGGAAUUUGACUAGAAACCAGUAACUAACAGAUAGCUGGAGAUAGAUAGAUACACUCCAAACUCUGAAUAAUCAUAAAACACAUUUCUAAAUGUCAAAGGAAAAUUCCCAAGAAAUACCAAAGAGUACUUCAGCUCAUAGAAAAUGACACUACAACUCAAGGUAAUUUAUCAGUAUAGUGAAAGUGCUUAGAGAGAGAUUUAUAGCAUUGAAUGCAAAAACUAGAGUAGAAGGAAAGUCUAAUAUAUAACCUAAGUGAUCACCUUAGGGAACUAGUAAAAAAAAAAAAGAAAAUUAAGUGCAAAGCAGUCAUAAGAAAAUAAGAAGAAAUAUCAACACAUUAAUGAAAUGGGGCAUAGUAAAAAGUUAAUUCUUUGAAAAGAUCAAUAAAUGUGAUAGGCUUGAUCCAGAUUAGCUAAGACACAACAGCAAAGACAAAAAUUAUUGACAUCAAAACGGGAACCAUCUCUGCACUGAAAAGAUAAGUGAAAAUAUUGAGGACUCUGAUCACUGCACUGAAAAGAUAAAUGAAAAUAUUGAGGACUCCGAUCACUGCACUGAAAAGAUAAAUGAAAAUAUUGAGGACUCUGAUCUCAUAGGCACUAAAGGGACAAUCAGAAAUAGCAUGGGCUCCAUGUCCACGAUUUAAAAUGCAGAUGGAAUGUGUAGAUUUCUUGAGAGAUUCGACGUAAAUCUUACGUAAAGAUAAAUGCAUAAUCUCAGUAGAUCCGUCUGUAUUGAAAGUGUGCGAGUAGUCAGUAACUUUCAAAAUUAGAAAGUACCAUUCCCAGCUGGACUCCUCGGGUUGUUCCACUGAACAUUUCAGAAACAGACAUGAAAUGCCAUGACUCAUCUAUCACACUAACAUUACCACAGCACUAGACAGGAACUUUUAGGAAAGGCUAUGAUAGCCAAGCAUCGUAAACAUAGAUAGAAGAAUCUUUUAUAAAAUAUUAGCAAAAUGAAACCAACAAUAUGAAAGAAAUUAUACACUAUAACCAAGUGUGCUUGACUUUGGGUGGCUGGUUGAAUGUUCGAAAACAAAUGUCAUCUGGCUAAAGAAAACAUAUCAUUAUAUAUGAUCCAAAGCAAAGUUACCUCUAGGCAGACUAGGAUUAUGCACAACUUUCUCGACUUGAUAAUAGCCAUGAGUCUUGUGGUAGAUUGGAACAAAUGAAUCUGAAGUUUAUAAUCAAGAGUCAAAAAAAAAAAUUCUAAAAGAGAUUUCAUUCUAAAUCUAGCCAACUUACUAAGAACCUGAAAUAACCAAGGCAGUGCGGUCUUCGAAACGUCGAGAGAAGACUAGAAAGAUGGCUCUGCCAUUAAGAACACUGUGUGCUCUUCCAGAGUCCUGAGUUCAAUUUCUAGUAACCACGGUGGCUCACAACCAUCUGUAAUGGGAUCUGAUGCCCCCUUCUGGUGUGUCUGUCUGUGACAGUGUACUCAUACACAUAAGGCAAAUCUUUAAACAGAAAGAAAUAAAGAAACAGCCCCCUUCCCCAGAAAUAAGCCAAACCAGUGGGCCAGAAAUAGGUCUACACAUGUAAGCCAAACAGUGGUUGAAGAAGGAGAAAUGGUUGUUUAAUGGAGGAAGUAUAGUCUUUCAACAGACCACUCUGGAACAAUGGCCCAUCACAAGACUCGCAUAUGCACACCCUCAAAGGACUCUAAACAUAUUUCACUCUUUUCACAAGACUCGGCUGAAGAUAGAUUAUAGAUUUAAGUACAGAGUAGGAAGUUACAGAGCGCCUAAAAUGUAACACUGAAGAAAAUCUAUCUGGUCAUGGUGUUGAAUCAGCUGGCUGGAGUCCCUUUGUUCUGUUUAUACAGAAAUAAUGUGUAGCCAAGGAGACAACCUUCAAGUUCUGGGCCCCUUUGUUUCCCUUGGUGUUUUGCAGCAGUGAGUGAUGGCCAUAAGCAGGUGGGGGCAACAGCAGGUGGUACCUUCUAGUGUUACAAUUCAUGCAUGCCUUGGAUAUUGGGACUCUAAGCCCUGUACGUGCUACAGCUCUUGUGUAAGCCUAGAAAGCUGGGAUUUUCAGCCCUUGCUUGUAAUUAGGGUUGAAGUUUGUGGGCAGCAGGAGUAGAAGGAUUUCUCAGCUCUUGACAGCAGCCAGUGUCACAAAUCUUGUGUAGGCCAGGGAAGUCGGGAUUCCUGAACCCCACACUCCGGCCAGUGUUCUGUGCUAGCCCCUCCCCCCCCCGGGGGGCCUCUGAGACCCUUCGCCCUAACGAUCUGACAGCUCUCUGGAAUUCCUCUGGCAAACAGGGCCUGCAGUUUUUCUUUUCUGACACCUUAUGCCCUUUUCUUCUUUGGCCUCAGCUGCUCACCUUCUCCCGUCGCCCCUCUUCUUCAGCCCUUCGGGUCCCACCCUAGCAGCUCUCAAACGGUUCAUCUGAUUCUUCUUCAGCUGUCAAGCAGCUGCCUUGCCUCCCUCACCGCCCAGCCUGCCAACUUGCUCAGCUGUCGCUGCCACUGCCAUUCCACUGCCUUUGCUAUCUCUCUACUCUUUCUGUUACUCAACCUCACUUCUAAAAGGAAAGGCCACUGGGGGGCAGGGGUGUGUGGGGGAGAAGGAGAGAGAGAGAGAGAGAGAGAGAGAGAGAGAGAGAGAGAGAGAGAGAGAGAGAGAGAGAGCGAUCCCUUUUAUUAGACUUAAUGUUGCCACACCAGGGAAGGCGACACAGUACAAUGUAUCGGGCCUGAUACAUUUAAUGAGCCAGCCUGGGAAGUCGGAGGGCACGACCUGAGAAGAGGCAUUGAGGCACAAACUGCCAUUUGUUUUGAGCCAAUACAGCCUUGCCUCUUAGCACCAAUCACACCACUGAGAUCUGUUUUUGGAUCAAUCGCAGCCUUGUCUCCUUACCUUAACCAGUCAGAGCAGUUUCUUUGCUAGGCCAGUGUGGUGGUUUCCUUUUGGCUUAUGUGGAAAUGGUUGCAGGGUUACAGCUUAUGGAAGGAAGCUUGCUAGAGCAAAUAGGCUGACAGGAAGGGUUUCAAACAGCCCUGGCUGAAGCUAUAGCCGUCAUUAGUUGGGACAAUCAACUAUGGCAGUCUUGUUUAGUUUUCUCAGGACCGUGUGUGAACUGUUCUUAGUGGUUGGCGCUGGCAUAAGGGUAGUUGACUAUUUGACGUGACAGUUCUGCUGCAGCUAAGGCAGCAAGGGAGAAUAUAACGCUAAUUAGAGGGUCAAAAUGAGUCAUUCUUCUGCAUGUUUGAUUAGGAGAAAAGGGACAUCAUAAAGAGUACUUAAGGACUGUUUCAUUAACGCUGAUAUCAUUGGUUUUUAUUUGUUUGUUUUGCUUUUGUUUUGUUUUAAUAGUAUUUAGCACUACCCCAAAAGGGGAAAGGUUGCUUGCACUGUACUGGCUAGUAAACUUUGAUGUGUAACACCAAAGGUCUGAUCUGUGGAAGGAAUGGAUAAAUUGCACCUCACUAAAAUUAGAUAUCUGUCUCACCAUAGACAAAAGACACGAAUUCAGCGGCUAGAACAAGCAGCUACAGACUUCGAGAAGACAUUUGGAAAACAUGCAAGUCGGUGAUGGAUGAACACGUCAUGAGCUACACGGUUUGGUACCGAAUCUGCAGUAGAGCAGCCCAAAGGACCUAGAUGGAUGGCAAAAGGCACAACAUCGAGUGAAAAGAUGCCAGUCUGAACUUUUCAGGAACUAUGCGACCCAUUUGCAUAACAUCCCCGAAAUCACUGAAACUUAGAACACAAAACAGAUUGUGAGGAUAACGGAGACCAGAAGGUGAGAGUAAAGAAAGGAGCAGCAGAAAAGUAGAUCCUUUCGGAAACAAAACAUUUCAGCAUUUUAACUCAGAGUAGCACUAUAAUGACAGAACUAUACAAGCACACAAGCCAUUGCCAAUUUCCUGGUUCCUAAUAUGACACUAAGGUUAUAUUGGCUGUAACACUUGGGUGUGAAAGUGGCGGGUGUAGGAUGCCUUUGUUUUCGUUUUGAAAUCCUAGGAAGGUUUUCCUCUUAUUAUUUUAAAUAAUGUGCUUGUGUCUGUGUAUGGCUAUGUGCACAUGAGUAUAGGUGCUCACAGAGGCCAGUGUCAUCUUGUUUUCCUGGAGUGGCAGUUGUAAGCGGCUCUGAACCACCUGACACAGGUGUUGGGAACUAAACUUGUGUCUCCUACAUGAGCAGUGCAUGUCCUUAGUUAAUGUGCCAGUUCUCCGGCCCCUGUAACUUUUACUGAACCCACAAGUGUUUCAAAAUUAAAAGUUAAAAAUUUCAAGAUUUAUAACUAACAUGACAGUUCUCGUUAAUUAACUAGGCAAGCGAAGGAGAACAUUGGAGAAGUGUGAAUAGGUCAGACUGAACCAUAGAUUUCGUUUCUAAAGAUGCAACGCAUGGUAAUGAGUAUACAGGGUAGAAAGAGGUAACCAUGUGUAACCAUAGCCCCAGAGUGAAAGGAGAGAAGAUAAGAAGAGAAGUCAACUAGGAGAAGAAGACAAUGGGUAUUUCCCAAAACUGAUAGGAGAAUCCACCUUAUUCCCAUGAGAUGAACUGCCCCAAAGGAAAGAGGAAAAACAAAGACUGUAAGCGACCAGGAAGGGGAAAGUCACUUCCCUCAUUAUCUCAAAACAAACAACAAUAACACUGACAGCUGACAUCUCACCGGAAGUCACAGAAGAAAGCCGAUCAACAGGUGCGUGCUUCCUUCCGCCUCAGCAUUCACGCUCAGCUGUGAUCUGUGAUCGUUAGUGUCGACUCUCAACUCAAUAGGAUCUGGAAUCACCUGGGAGCUGGGCUUCCGGGAACGCCUGUGGGGGGUUAUCUUGACUGUGCUAAGGGAAGACUCAUCUUAAUUGUAGGUAGGGCCAUACUCUGCACAGGACAUCUGGGCUGCCACAAGGGGAGACACCUACCUGAGCCUGAGUGUGCAUGCCUUCACUGCUCUUGAUACAUUGCACUUGCGCUGUGAGCUCAAAAUACAAAACGAGUGGGGGCUUGAGAGCUGACUAUGUCUUUAAGAGCACUGGCUACUCUCCCAGAGGACUGGAGUUUGACUCCUAGCACCCACAUGAAAACUCACAAUCAUCUGGAACAGAUGCUGUUGGCCUCCAGGGACACUACAAACAAAUGGCCUGCACACUAUGUCCAGCAAAAUGCAAAAUAAAAUGAAAAUCUUAAAAAAACAAAACAAAAUAAAACAAAAAACCCAAAA